CUCUGCUCCAGCAUGGCCAGCAGCUCCGAGAUCUUCAGCUGGAGGCUCUUCUCCGACGCCGACGACGACCUCUCAGUGGUGAUCUCCAUCUGCAGCUUCGUAAUCUGCAACUGUAGACGGCAGAAACGGUGAGCGACUUAAACUUGAAACCUACGUUGGUAAAACAACAUAUUUCUCCACGCACCCGCAGCCGCUCGAUCUCUCUGUCUUUGUCCUUUUUUAUGUCUCCGAGCUGCUCGUUGAACUGACGGGACAACUCUUCAGUCCUGAUGUGCAGGCUGGUGCUGUUGGCUUGCCCCGCCUGCUGAAAAAAAGGGAAAAGUUGUGUCCACUCACCAAAACAUCACCGUGGAGUUAUUGAGUCUGCUUAGCUGAUUGGAGAGCUAGCUUCCGCAGCUAGUGGGUCCAUGACAAGGACUUAUUGUUUUGUUUGAUCAGCCGUUUUACUGCUGAAUUACAGGCACCGUUUGGAAACUAGUAAGGUCUUCGGUCAUGUGAAGAAGUUCUUCUCUCAGGCUGCUGAAGGUGGACAGCAGCAGACGCAUGCUCUUAUCAGCGGUCAGGCGAGUCUGACACACACAUGCACACACUUUACAUUCAGCUGACACAGCAAUUUCAACAUUGAGCCAGAUGUGCUGAUCGUUACCUGCAGCAGGUAUCGAAUUUGCUGUUUG